CACUAAUCUCCGAGUGUACGAGUUUGUGCACGUCUGAUCCAAACUAGGGACCUUUUUACAGCCCACCACUUGCGACCAUUAUCACGAGGUUUUAUCACGACACGAGGUUCAUAAUUAUGUUGGCGUGAAGCAAACAAAAUGUGGAUCUCACAAGACCCAGAGCUAGUGUUUUUAUCUGUUUAUUGUCAUCGACGUCAAAUAUCCAGAGUCUGCCUACUCUUGGAACUGUAAUAUAAAUACGGGUGGCUUGCGUGAAGGGGUUG